UGUUUUAGUAGCUUAUAUGAAAGUUCUGGGCUUUUAACCCUGAGAAGUAAAGAAUUACCUAAAGC
rnacentral:tRNA from 1 species